rnacentral:rRNA from 1 species
CCUACGUGGGGCAGCAGUGAGGAAUAUUGGUCAAUGGGCGCGAGCCUGAACCAGCCAAGUAGCGUGAAGGAUGACUGCCCUACGGGUUGUAAACUUCUUUUAUAAAGGAAUAAAGUGAGGCACGUGUGCCUUUUUGUAUGUACUUUAUGAAUAAGGAUCGGCUAACUCCGUGCCCGCAGCCGCGGUAAUACGGGGGAUCCGAGCGUUAUCCGGAUUUGUUGGGGUUACAGGGAGCGUAGAGGGGUUGUUCAGUCAGUUGUGAAAGUUUGCGGCUCAACCGUAAAAUUGCAAUUUCUACUGGCAUCCUUGAGUACACUUGAGGUAGGCGGAAUUCGUGGUGUAGCGGUGAAAUGCUU